rnacentral:rRNA from 1 species
GAUGAACGCUGGCGGCGUGCCUAAUACAUGCAAGUCGAGCGAACAGACGAGGAGCUUGCUCCUCUGACGUUAGCGGCGGACGGGUGAGUAACACGUGGAUAACCUUCCUAUAAUACUUGGAUAACUUCGUGAAACCGGAGCUAAUACCGGAUAAUAUAUUGAACCGCUUGGUUCAAUAGUUAAAGACGGUUUUGCUGUCACUUAUAGCUGGAUCCAGGCGGCGUUAGCUAGUUGGUAAGGUAACGCCCUACCAAGGCGACGAUGCGUAGCCGGUCUGAGAGGAUGAGGAGCAAAAAUGGAACUGAGCCACGGUCCAGACUACUACGGGAGGCAGCAGUGGGGAAUAUGGGACAAUGGGCGCAAGAGUGAUACAGCCAUAACGCGUGGGUGAAGAAGGCCUUAGGGUUGUAAAGCCCUUUUGUUGGGAAAGAAAAGCAGCAGGUGAAUACCCCGCGGUUCUGACGGUACCCAAAGAAUAAGCACCGGCUAACUUCGUG